rnacentral:rRNA from 1 species
AGCGUAGGCGGACUUUUAAGUGAGAUGUGAAAUACCCGGGCUCAACUUGGGUGCUGCAUUUCAAACUGGAAGUCUAGAGUGCAGGAGAGGAGAAUGGAAUUCCUAGUGUAGCGGUGAAAUGCGUAGAGAUUAGGAAGAACACCAUGGCGAAGGCGAUUCUCUGGACUGUAACUGACGCUGAGGCUGAAAGCUGGGGAGCAAACA